rnacentral:rRNA from 1 species
AUACGUAGGUCCCGAGCGUUGUCCGGAUUUAUUGGGCGUAAAGCGAGCGCAGGCGGUUUAAUAAGUCUGAAGUUAAAGGCAGUGGCUUAACCAUUGUUCGCUUUGGAAACUGUUAAACUUGAGUGCAGAAGGGGAGAGUGGAAUUCCAUGUGUAGCGGUGAAAUGCGUAGAUAUAUGGAGGAACACCGGUGGCGAAAGCGGCUCUCUGGUCUGUAACUGACGCUGAGGCUACGAAAGCGGUGGGGAGAC